UGUCCGUUGGUGAACCAGCGGAGGGAUCAUUACAGGACUCGCAAGACUCCUACAACCCUGUGAACUUAACUAUAAGCACGUUGCUUCGGCGGGUGUCUCGGAGGGGGUUCUCCCUCCCCGAGACGCUAAACCCGCCGGCAGCCUACUAUACUCUGUCUCUUUGCGUUGGCAUCUCGAGUACAAUCAAACAAGUUAAAACUUUCAACAACGGAUCUCUUGGUUCUG
rnacentral:misc_RNA from 1 species